GUGCAAUUGGUUGUGCAAUGAACACCUUUUUUAUGUUUUGCAGUGUUGUGCAUCCUGUACCACAGAACUGGGACAUAAGUUAGUUGCCAGAUUGGACCCUUGUAUGGGGAUACAUACUGAUUUGAUACAGGCAGUUUCCAAGCUCAUCCUGUGGUGUGGUAGGGGAUGCAAACCAUGCUGAUCCAGCUAAAAUGCUUGACCACUGAUGACACCAUUACAUCUUGAACAAUGCUGGUGGGAUUCGUCAUUUGCUCUUUGCAACCCAUCUCCAAUAAACCUAAAUGGCUUUGACAUGACGAUGCUACAGCCAACCAUGGAAGGCAGUACAAGUGAGGACAUGAAGCCAAGAAAGAACGCUAGAAGAGGUAA